AUAUUGCGCAAUGGACGGAAGUCUGACGCAGCGACGCCGCGUGAGCGAUGAAUGCCUUCGGGUCGUAAAGCUCUGUCCUUGGGGAAGAAGGUCUUCGGACUUGACGGUACCCAAGAAGAAAGCACCGGCUAACUACGUGCCAGCAGCCGCGGUAAUACGUAGGGGGCGAGCGUUGUCCUGAAUUACUGGGCGUAAAGGGUGCGUAGGCUGCCCUUUAAGUCAGAUGUGAAAGGCCACGGCUUAACCGUGGGAUUGCGUUUGAAACUGGAGGGCUUGAGUGUCGGAGAGGGUAGUGGAAUUCCCAGUGUAGCGGUGAAAUGCAUAGAUAUUACACAGAACACCGAUAGCGUAGGCAGGUUGCUAAGUCUUUACUGACGCUGAUGGACGAAAGCGUGGGGAGCAAAC
rnacentral:rRNA from 1 species